GAUGAAGAACGUAGCGAAAUGCGAUAAGUAAUGUGAAUUGCAGAAUUCAGUGAAUCAUCGAAUCUUUGAACGCACAUUGCGCCCGCCAGUAUUCUGGCGGGCAUGCCUGUCUGAGCGUCAUUUCAACCCUCAUGCCCCUAGGGCGUGGUGUUGGGGAUCGGCCAAAGCCCGCGAGGGACGGCCGGCCCCUAAAUCUAGUGGCGGACCCGUCGUGGCCUCCUCUGCGAAGUAGUGAUAUUCCGCAUCGGAGAGCGAUGAGCCCCUGCCGUUAAACCCCCAACUUUCCAAGGUUGACCUCAGAUCAGGUAGGAAUACCCGCUGAACUUAAGCAUAUCAAUAACCGGAGGA
rnacentral:misc_RNA from 1 species